rnacentral:rRNA from 1 species
AUUGAACGCUGGCGGCAGGCCUAACACAUGCAAGUCGAACGGUAACAGAAAGCAGCUUGCUGCUUUGCUGACGAGUGGCGGACGGGUGAGUAAUGUCUGGGAAACUGCCUGAUGGAGGGGGAUAACUACUGGAAACGGUAGCUAAUACCGCAUAACGUCGCAAGACCAAAGAGGGGGACCUUCGGGCCUCUUGCCAUCGGAUGUGCCCAGAUGGGAUUAGCUUGUUGGUGGGGUAACGGCUCACCAAGGCGACGAUCCCUAGCUGGUCUGAGAGGAUGACCAGCCACACUGGAACUGAGACACGGUCCAGACUCCUACGGGAGGCAGCAGUGGGGAAUAUUGCACAAUGGGCGCAAGCCUGAUGCAGCCAUGCCGCGUGUAUGAAGAAGGCCUUCGGGUUGUAAAGUACUUUCAGCGGGGAGGAAGGGAGUAAAGUUAAUACCUUUGCUCAUUGACGUUACCCGCAGAAGAAGCACCGGCUAACUCCGUGCCAGCAGCCGCGGUAAUACGGAGGGUGCAAGCGUUAAUCGGAAUUACUGGGCGUAAAGCGCACGCAGGCGGUUUGUUAAGUCAGAUGUGAAAUCCCCGGGCUCAACCUGGGAACUGCAUCUGAUACUGGCAAGCUUGAGUCUCGUAGAGGGGGGUAGAAUUCCAGGUGUAGCGGUGAAAUGCGUAGAGAUCUGGAGGAAUACCGGUGGCGAAGGCGGCCCCCUGGACGAAGACUGACGCUCAGGUGCGAAAGCGUGGGGAGCAAGCAGGAUUAGAUACCCUGGUAGUCCACGCCGUAAACGAUGUCGACUUGGAGGUUGUGCCCUUGAGGCGUGGCUUCCGGAGCUAACGCGUUAAGUCGACCGCCUGGGGAGUACGGCCGCAAGGUUAAAACUCAAAUGAAUUGACGGGGGCCCGCACAAGCGGUGGAGCAUGUGGUUUAAUUCGAUGCAACGCGAAGAACCUUACCUGGUCUUGACAUCCACGGAAGUUUUCAGAGAUGAGAAUGUGCCUUCGGGAACCGUGAGACAGGUGCUGCAUGGCUGUCGUCAGCUCGUGUUGUGAAAUGUUGGGUUAAGUCCCGCAACGAGCGCAACCCUUAUCCUUUGUUGCCAGCGGUCCGGCCGGGAACUCAAAGGAGACUGCCAGUGAUAAACUGGAGGAAGGUGGGGAUGACGUCAAGUCAUCAUGGCCCUUACGACCAGGGCUACACACGUGCUACAAUGGCGCAUACAAAGAGAAGCGACCUCGCGAGAGCAAGCGGACCUCAUAAAGUGCGUCGUAGUCCGGAUUGGAGUCUGCAACUCGACUCCAUGAAGUCGGAAUCGCUAGUAAUCGUGGAUCAGAAUGCCACGGUGAAUACGUUCCCGGGCCU